UACAGAGGUCUCAAGCGUUGUUCGGAUUCAUUGGGCGUAAAGGGUGCGUAGGCGGCUUUGCAAGCCGGAUGUGAAAUCCCCGGGCUUAACCUGGGAACUGCAUUCGGGACUGCAUUGCUAGAGUAUGGGAGAGGGGAGUGGAAUUUCAGGUGUAGCGGUGAAAUGCGUAGAUAUCUGGAGGAACACCGGUGGCGAAGGCGGCGUUCUGGACUGCAACUGACACUGAGGAACGAAAGCCAGGGGAGCAAACGGG
rnacentral:rRNA from 1 species